AGCCAUAUCACGUUGAAAACGCUGGUCCUCGUCCAUUCCCAGAAGUUAAGCAAGGGUGGGCCUGGUCAGUGCUUAGAUGGGUGAGCGCUUGAGAAUACCUGGUGCUGUAA